rnacentral:rRNA from 1 species
UACGAAGGGGGCUAGCGUUGCUCGGAGUCACUGGGCGUAAAGCGCACGUAGGCGGAUUGCUAAGUCAGGGGUGAAAUCCUGGAGCUCAACUCCAGAACUGCCCUUGAUACUGGCGGUCUCGAGUCCGGGAGAGGUGAGUGGAACUGCGAGUGUAGAGGUGAAAUUCGUAGAUAUUCGCAAGAACACCAGUGGCGAAGGCGGCUCACUGGCCCGGUACUGACGCUGAGGUGCGAAAGCGUGGGGAGCAAACAGG